rnacentral:rRNA from 1 species
UCGAGCGGUAACAGAGAGUAGCUUGCUACUUUGCUGACGAGCGGCGGACGGGUGAGUAAUGCUUGGGAAUAUGCCUUUUGGUGGGGGACAACAGUUGGAAACGACUGCUAAUACCGCAUGAUGUCUACGGACCAAAGUGGGGGACCUUCGGGCCUCACGCCAAAAGAUUAGCCCAAGUGGGAUUAGCUAGUUGGUAAGGUAAUGGCUUACCAAGGCAACGAUCCCUAGCUGGUUUGAGAGGAUGAUCAGCCACACUGGGACUGAGACACGGCCCAGACUCCUACGGGAGGCAGCAGUGGGGAAUAUUGCACAAUGGGCGCAAGCCUGAUGCAGCCAUGCCGCGUGUGUGAAGAAGGCCUUCGGGUUGUAAAGCACUUUCAGUCAGGAGGAAAGGGUGUGUUUUAAUAGAGCAUAUCUGUGACGUUACUGACAGAAGAAGCACCGGCUAACUCCGUGCCAGCAGCCGCGGUAAUACGGAGGGUGCGAGCGUUAAUCGGAAUUACUGGGCGUAAAGCGUACGCAGGCGGUUUGUUAAGCGAGAUGUGAAAGCCCCGGGCUCAACCUGGGAACUGCAUUUCGAACUGGCAAACUAGAGUGUGAUAGAGGGUGGUAGAAUUUC